GACGAACGCUGGCGGCGUGCCUAAUACAUGCAAGUCGAGCGGGCCUCUUCGGAGGCCAGCGGCGGACGGGUGAGUAACACGUGGGCAACCUGCCUGUAAGACUGGGAUAACACCGGGAAACCGGUGCUAAUACCGGAUAAUCCUUCUCCUUACAUGAGGGGAAGCUGAAAGACGGCAUCUCGCUGUCACUUACAGAUGGGCCCGCGGCGCAUUAGCUAGUUGGUGAGGUAACGGCUCACCAAGGCGACGAUGCGUAGCCGACCGGAGAGGGUGAUCGGCCACACUGGGACUGAGACACGGCCCAGACUCCUACGGGAGGCAGCAGUAGGGAAUCUUCCGCAAUGGACGAAAGUCUGACGGAGCAACGCCGCGUGAGCGAAGAAGGCCUUCGGGUCGUAAAGCUCUGUUGUCAGGGAAGAACAAGUACCGGAGUAACUGCCGGUACCUUGACGGUACCUGACCAGAAAGCCACGGCUAACUACGUGCCAGCAGCCGCCGUAA
rnacentral:rRNA from 1 species